rnacentral:tRNA from 1 species
GAGGGUAUAGCUCAAGCAGAAGAGCAUGUGCUUAGCAACCAUGAGGUACUAGGUUCAAUUCCCAGUACCUUCA